CCUACGGGUGGCAGCAGUGGGGAAUAUUGCACAAUGGGGGAAACCCUGAUGCAGCGACGCCGCGUGAGCGAUGAAGUAUUUCGGUAUGUAAAGCUCUAUCAGCAGGGAAGAAAAUGACGGUACCUGACUAAGAAGCCCCGGCUAACUACGUGCCAGCAGCCGCGGUAAUACGUAGGGGGCAAGCGUUAUCCGGAUUUACUGGGUGUAAAGGGAGCGUAGACGGCGGUGCAAGCCAGAUGUGAAAGCCCGGGGCUCAACCCCGGGACUGCAUUUGGAACUGUGCUGCUAGAGUGUCGGAGAGGCAGGCGGAAUUCCUAGUGUAGCGGUGAAAUGCGUAGAUAUUAGGAGGAACACCAGUGGCGAAGGCGGCCUGCUGGGCUUUAACUGACGCUGAGGCUCGAAAGCGUGGGGAGCAAACAGGAUUAGAUACCCUUGUAGUC
rnacentral:rRNA from 1 species